UAUUGGACAAUGUGGGCAACCCUGAUCCAGCCAUGCCGCGUGUGUGAAUAAGGUCUUCGGAUUUUAAAGCACUGUAAGUCGGGAGGAAGGGCUUUAGGCUAAUACCCUGAUGUUUUCACGUUUCCAACAGAAUAAGCACCGUCUAACUCUUUCCCAGCAGCCGCGGUAAUACCGAGGGUGCAAGCGUUAAUCGGAAUUACUGGGCGUAAAGCGCGCGUAGGUGGUUCAGUAAGAUGGGUGUGAAAUCCCCGGGCUUAACCUUGGAACUGCUUUCAUAACUGCUGAGCUAGAGUAAGGUAGAGGGUAGUGGAAUUUCCUGUGUAGCGGUGAAAUGCGUAGAUAUAGGAAGGAACACCAGUGGCGAAGGCGACUACCUGGACUGAUACUGACACUGAGGUGCGAAAGCGUGGGGAGCAAACAG
rnacentral:rRNA from 1 species